UACAGGGGGGGCAAGCGUUGUUCGGAAUUACUGGGCGUAAAGGGCGCGUAGGCGGCCUUCUAAGUCGAACGUGAAAUCCCCGGGCUCAACCCGGGAACUGCGUCCGAUACUGGAAGGCUUGAAUUCGGGAGAGGGAUGCGGAAUUCCAGGUGUAGCGGUGAAAUGCGUAGAUAUCUGGAGGAACACCGGUGGCGAAGGCGGCAUCCUGGACCGGCAUUGACGCUGAGGCGCGAAGGCUAGGGGAGCGAACAGG
rnacentral:rRNA from 1 species